GGCCGCUCCUCUCGGUGACGGACUUCAGGCACUCCCGGCUUCCAUGGCUUGACGGGCGGUGUGUACAAGGCCCGGGAACGUAUUCACCGGAUCAUGGCUGAUAUCCGAUUACUAGCGAUUCCAGCUUCACGGGGUCGAGUUGCAGACCCCGAUCCGAACUGUGACCGGUUUUGUAGAUCCGCGCCCCCUUGCGGGGUGGCUUCCCUCUGUACCGGCCAUUGUAGCACGUGUGUGGCCCAGGACGUAAGGGCCGUGAUGAUUUGACGUCGUCCCCACCUUCCUCACGGUUUGCACCGGCAGUCCCGCUAGAGUCCCCAUCUUUACAUGCUGGCAACUAACGGUAGGGGUUGCGCUCGUUAUAGGACUUAACCUGACACCUCACGGCACGAGCUGACGACAACCAUGCAGCACCUUGCAGGCAGUCCGAAGAAAGGGGUGUCUCCACCCCAUGCAGCCUGCAUUUAAGCCCUGGUAAGGUUCCUCGCGUAUCAUCGAAUUAAACCACAUGCUCCACCGCUUGUGCGGGCCCCCGUCAAUUCCUUUGAGUUUCAUUCUUGCGAACGUACUCCCCAGGUGGGAUACUUAUCACUUUCGCUUGGCCACGGAGACCGAGGUCCCCACAGCUAGUAUCCAUCGUUUACGGCGUGGACUACCGGGGUAUCUAAUCCCGUUCGCUACCCACGCUUUCGUCCAUCAGCGUCAGUACAUGGUUGGUCACCUGCCUUCGCGAUCGGUGUUCUAUGUGAUAUCUAUGCAUUUCACCGCUACACCACAUGUUCCGGCAACCCCACCAUGACUCAAGACCUGCAGUAUCAAAGGCAAUUCUAUGGUUGAGCCACAGACUUUCACCCCUGACUUACAGGCCCGCCUACGGACCCUUUAAACCCAAUGAUUCCGGAUAACGCUCGGACCCUCCGUAUUACCGCGGCUGCUGGCACGGAGUUAGCCGGUCCUUAUUCUUACGGUACCGUCAGCUCCCCUCACGAGGGGAGGUUUCUUCCCGUAAAUAGCAGUUUACAACCCAUAGGGCAGUCAUCCUGCACGCGGCAUGGCAGCAUCAGUGUUCCCACCAUUGUCCAAUAUUCCUCACCGGU
rnacentral:rRNA from 1 species